UCCCUGGUGGCUCAGAUGGUAAAGAAUCUGCCUGCAAUGCAAGAGACCCAGGUUCGAUCCCUGGGUUGGGAA
rnacentral:tRNA from 1 species